rnacentral:tRNA from 1 species
GCGCCAGUGGCUCAGUUGGAUAGAGCAACGGACUUCUAAUCCGUAGGCCGGGGGUUCGAAUCCCUCCUGGCGCGCCA